GACGAACGCUGGCGGCGUGCCUACUACAUGCAAGUAGAACGCUGAAGGAGGAGCUUGCUUCUCUGGAUGAGUUGCGAACGGGUGAGUAACGCGUAGGUAACCUGCCUGGUAGCGGGGGAUAACUAUUGGAAACGAUAGCUAAUACCGCAUAAUAGUAGAUGUUGCAUGACAUUUGCUUAAAAUGUGCAAUUGCAUCACUACCAGAUGCACCUGCGUUGUAUUAGCUAGUUGGUGGGGUAACGGCUCACCAAGGCGACGAUACAUAGCCGACCUGAGAGGGUGGUCCGCCAAACUGGGACUGAGACAAGGCCCAGGACUCUACGGGAGGCAGCAGGAGGGGAACUUCGGCAAUGGACGGAAAUCUGACCGAGGCACGCCGCGGGAGGGAAGAAGGGUUUCGGAUCGGAAAGCUCUGUUGUAAGAGAAGAACGAGUGUGAGAGUGGAAAGUUCACACUGUGACGGUAUCUUACCAGAAAGGGACGGCUAACUACGUG
rnacentral:rRNA from 1 species